AUGAUGUGGAGUUUUCAAUUAAGUGAAAACGGGAGGCGUGUCUCCUCACAGGUGCCUGGUCUGAGCACCAAGCAGCCAAGGCGGCCGCGGGGUGUCUCGAGGCUGGAACCGUCAGGCCAGAAUGUGGGCUGUCAGAAGAAAGAACACCGUUGCAAAUCUGAUCAGAUCUCCCCUGUGGUCCUGAAAUCGCUGGAGAGGGGAUUCACAUCCAGCGGGUCUCAACCUGAUGUCCCGCAGGUGACACAGGAGUGACGAGGGCUUGACCCAAUCAGCCAGCAGCCAGCACUUCCGAAGGGAUCCCACUUGCCAGACAUGUUCCAAACAGGUCGUGGAUACUGACUCAGCCAAUCCCCCCACCCUGCAGGGUGGGUGCUAUUACAGCUUCCCUGUGGAAGGGGAUACCCAGGGAGGGAGGAGACUGCAGGACACACAGCCAGCAAGGAGCCUGUGGACAGAGCAGCUCAGGGGUCUUGGGGGCAGGUCCCGGGUCUCCAUGUGGGGGCGAGAGGGAGGGGUGGGGACUGGGGCAAGCUGCAGAGCUCAAGCCUGGACUUGGGGCCCCCACGUGCUGCCAGGGGAGGGUCUGGGCCCAGGUGGCCCCUCUCCUGAGACCUUAAGAGAAUCAGAUUCCCAAGGAAAUCUCAAGGUUUUUGCAUGUUGACAAUAGAUUCACUUUUUCCCCAAAACACAGGAGGGAUGAACUAGACACCUUCCUGGCUGGUUUUGGUCCACGGUGUAAACUCUGACUCACAGAAAAUCAUUCUGCAAAGUCGUGAGCAUCAGGGCAUGUUGGU
rnacentral:lncRNA from 1 species